rnacentral:rRNA from 2 species
ACGGGAGGCAGCAGUGGGGAAUAUUGGUCAAUGGGGGAAACCCUGAACCAGCAACGCCGCGUGAAGGAAGAAGGCUUUCGGGUUGUAAACUUCUUUUAAGAGGGACGAAGGACGUGACGGUACCUCUUGAAUAAGCCACGGCUAACUACGUGCCAGCAGCCGCGGUAAUACGUAGGUGGCAAGCGUUAUCCGGAUUUACUGGGUGUAAAGGGCGCGUAGGCGGGAUUGCAAGUCAGAUGUGAAAUCUGGGGGCUUAACCCUCAAACUGCAUUUGAAACUGUAGUUCUUGAGUGUCGGAGAGGUAGAUGGAAUUCCUAGUGUAGCGGUGAAAUGCGUAGAUAUUAGGAGGAACACCAGUGGCGAAGGCGAUCUACUGGACGACAACUGACGCUGAGGCGCGAAAGCGUGGGGAGCAAACAGGAUUAGAUACCCUGGUA